rnacentral:rRNA from 1 species
GAUGAACGCUGGCGGCGUGCUUAACACAUGCAAGUCGAACGGAAAGGCCCAAGCUUGCUUGGGUACUCGAGUGGCGAACGGGUGAGUAACACGUGGGUGAUCUGCCCUGCACUUCGGGAUAAGCCUGGGAAACUGGGUCUAAUACCGGAUAGGACCACUUCUUGGAUGUUGUGGUGGAAAGUUUUUUCGGUGUGGGAUGAGCUCGCGGCCUAUCAGCUUGUUGGUGGGGUAAUGGCCUACCAAGGCGUCGACGGGUAGCCGGCCUGAGAGGGUGUACGGCCACAUUGGGACUGAGAUACGGCCCAGACUCCUACGGGAGGCAGCAGUGGGAAAUAUUGCACAAUGGGCGCAAGCCUGAUGCAGCGACGCCGCGUGGGGGAUGACGGCCUUCGGGUUGUAAACUCCUUUCGCUAGGGACGAAGCGUUUUGUGACGGUACCUGGAGAAGAAGCACCGGCUAACUACGUG